rnacentral:rRNA from 1 species
UACGAAGGGGGCUAGCGUUGCUCGGAAUCACUGGGCGUAAAGGGUGCGUAGGCGGGUCUUUAAGUCAGGGGUGAAAUCCUGGAGCUCAACUCCAGAACUGCCUUUGAUACUGAGGAUCUUGAGUACGGGAGAGGUGAGUGGAACUGCGAGUGUAGAGGUGAAAUUCGUAGAUAUUCGCAAGAACACCAGUGGCGAAGGCGGCUCACUGGCCCGUUACUGACGCUGAGGCUCGAAAGCGUGGGGAGCAAACAGG